rnacentral:rRNA from 2 species
UAGGGAAUCUUCGGCAAUGGACGAAAGUCUGACCGAGCAACGCCGCGUGAGUGAAGAAGGUUUUCGGAUCGUAAAACUCUGUUGUUAGAGAAGAACAAGGACGUUAGUAACUGAACGUCCCCUGACGGUAUCUAACCAGAAAGCCACGGCUAACUACGUGCCAGCAGCCGCGGUAAUACGUAGGUGGCAAGCGUUGUCCGGAUUUAUUGGGCGUAAAGCGAGCGCAGGCGGUUUCUUAAGUCUGAUGUGAAAGCCCCCGGCUCAACCGGGGAGGGUCAUUGGAAACUGGGAGACUUGAGUGCAGAAGAGGAGAGUGGAAUUCCAUGUGUAGCGGUGAAAUGCGUAGAUAUAUGGAGGAACACCAGUGGCGAAGGCGGCUCUCUGGUCUGUAACUGACGCUGAGGCUCGAAAGCGGGGGGAGCAAACAGG